rnacentral:lncRNA from 1 species
CAUCAACAACGUUAAACGACGAAGCCAACAACGCCGUUCACCGGCAAAGCCACUGACACUCGAAUCCCUCACCGCCAUUCAUGGAGUCUUUGGUCGUCGUUUUGGGAUAUCGUGUCGAACUGUCGAUUGCGUUAGUGUAACCGUGUUGCAAGCGUAAACCUUUUUUGUGAUCAAUUUAUGAACCAAUGAUCAUAGAUACAAGU